GGAGCAUCGAGUUGGGAAGAGGAAGAGUUACAUCGGACCCAAAGCAUUCAGCUGUGUCCAGGAACACGAGUGAAACUCACUUUCGUGUAACUGCGCAUUCGCCAUCGCAGCCUACGGUGACUGCGAUUGGCUCGUUUGGUACCGACGUUUUCUCCUACACGUGUCACGCUCGUGUAAAUGAACCGUAACAUCACGGAGACUGGACCCUGUGGUGGAGGAGAAGGUUAAGCUGAUGGUUCAUGAAGAUUUCGGAUGAGAUUCGCUGGACGGCCUGGAUGACAGGCAGCCUGAGAGGGGGAACACAGUGAAGCUGAUUGGCUCAGAGAACUCAGGCAGAGAGUUUAUUGGUUAAAAAAAGUGUCGUAAUAAAGCAGAACAGAACUAACGAAGCAAAGCUGGAAUGAUGGCAGAAGAGAUCUUCCUCAUUGAGCUUAAUUAAAAUCUUCAUCUCUAUGUGAGGCUCGUGGCACCACGCCUGCAAAGGUGGAUGUUUCAGUCUGUAAACCUGGAAAAAACGCCGGCCGAUAAAUAAUCCCAUUUCAUUUUGGAAAUAUUUCACAAAGCAGCGUGAAACUCUGCUGCUCAUCAUUUUUUUCCAUAAUUAUCUUUAUUUGAGCUGAAAGACUCGAUCAGAUCAGAGCGAGGAUAAGCAAAGGUUGCUUGACUCUGAAACUUCAAAAUAAAAGCCUGUCAUUUAGCUUUGAUUCUUUGAGGGAGUAAAAGAUUUGAAAUGGAGCUUAUAGGUUUCAUCUGAUGCUGUUUUAGAUUUUCUGUGUGUGUUUGAGCCGUGAAGGCUGUGAAUACCUUUGAGUCACAGUAAUCCACCUGCAUGAGGGCCGUCUGUCCGUCUGUCAGCUUAAAUCCUGCUCAGCUCCAGUUUCAGCAACAUGUUCACUCGAUCACACUCUUCAGCACUUCAGCAGUGCGACCAGGUUCAGAUCAGAAAUAACUGAAAGGAAGGUCUGAUGUGUUCUUUUUGCACUUUAUCUUUCAGGACACGGUUAUCUCAGCCCACAGCAGCAGGCUGAAAAACCAUCUGAGAUAAUGUGAGUGUGAAAUCCUGGAUAUCAAACAUUUGUUCAUGUUUGAACUUCACUGUUGAAUCAUGUAGGUGCACAUCUGCAACCCAACGGCUCCUCGACAACACGAACAUCGGUGAUGCAAACUCUGCGUCUCUCACAUCCUGGAUCAAAGACAUGACAGCCAACACUGAGGAGGUCAAAGGGGUGUUUCUCCUCCUUUGUGGUUCCGCGCCCGGUCCUCGUUACUUUGAGGCCCUGGACACUGAGAGUUUCCCAUGCCUUGGGAUAAGGACCCUGGAUGUUGCACAGCUGUAGGCGGACUGGGACAGGGAAGCGUCUCACUCUCUGUGAGGAACCUUCAGGAAUGGUGACGCUGUUUGUCCAGAUAUCUGAUUGGUCAGUAGGGGGUUCGUACCUGCGCUCCUUUUACCUGGAACAUAAAGAGUUCUGCAGCAGGCAUAAGAAGUGAGCCCAACAGCAUCACUGAAACCAGAGUUAAACCUGACGUUAGCCGGGUAAGCUUUCGUGUUACUGAUACACUGAUACGACCCAACAGGAAGUGUGUGCUCUGCCACCAAUCCUACACCAGCUCUGGUUCUGGGGAGUCUUUUACUGAUUCGGGACCUGUGAGUGUGUCAGUGUGUGUUGGGUGUGACAUCACUCGCUCAGGCACAAUUACAUCAUUAGGCACCCUCCUCCUCCUAGCCCCCCCCCCCCCCCCCGGGGCCGUCCCAGCUGCCAGAACAAGUGAGCAGACCAAAGUGCUGCGCUGACCUAAAUUCUCCCAGAGAGACUCCUCUUAAAGCU
ensembl:lncRNA